rfam:Tolumonas auensis DSM 9187, complete genome.
GCGGGAAUAGCUCAGUUGGUAGAGCAUAACCUUGCCAAGGUUAGGGUCGCGAGUUCGAGUCUCGUUUCCCGCU